CACUCUUUGCGGUGGAUCACUCGGCUCGUGCGUCGAUGAAGAGCGCAGCCAGCUGCGUGAAUUAAUGUGAAUUGCAGGGACACAUUGAACAUCGACAUCUUGAACGCACAUUGCGGCCCCUGCUAUCUGCCGGGGCCUCGCCUGUCCGAGGGUCG